CUGAUGCCUUGAGAAGUGAAGGAAGAAAGUCGGCCCCUUUCUAAUUAAACAAGCAGGGAAGUGGGCAGGGCAUGUAUGUAGAUAAAGGCAUAGAUAUGUGUGUAAACAUAAGCAAAGCUCAGAGGGUACACAGCAACCUGAAUACCCCCGAGGAGGAGGAUGCAGGCGGUGUCACGUUUAUUACAUAACUACACCUGGAUUAGGCAGCAUCUCCUCCGGAAGUCUUCUCGGACCCGCCCCUGUGUUGGAGGCGCUGCCUCUGAGCACGCAGCUGGGCGCCCUCAAGAGUCCAGUCCAAAGGCUGAGUGCGGGAGCUGAGGGCAGCCUGGACGAGCACAGCAGCUCUUCCGGGUGUGUGUUUGUCCACUCGGGCCGGUGAAAACAGCCGGCGAGGACAAUGACGAACAAUGAUGAGCGUGGCACUGACACCAGGCAGCCCGGCUCCCCCUCCCAGUGUUGAUCUGUGGCCUUUUUAAAGGCCAAGACAGUCCUCUGUGUGAUGGCGCCGUCUGGAACUCCCCAGAAAAUGCCCAUGACAAUGGAGCAGGCAGCCACGCCAGAUUGGGAUCUGGCCAGCUUUGGAGGGGGCAUUGCUCAGUCUGGGAGUCUCUGCCCCCAUCCCGGGGAAAUUCGGGCACACAGAGAAACACGCACGUCGGGAGAACACCAGGUGAAGAUAAAGGCAGAGAUUGAAAGAUGCUUCUACAAGCAGGAAUGCCAAAGAUUGCCAGCAGACCAGCAAGUGGGGAGAGAGGCCAAACUAGACUCUCCCUCACAGCCCUCAGAAGGAACCGACCCUGCUGACACCUCGAUUCUGGACUUCUAGCCUCCAGAACCGAGACAAUACAUUUCUGUUGUUAUGGCAGCCCUCAGCCAAUGAACACAGCAGGGAAAUAUGCGUACCAUCCAAUGCACUGUUUCAAUCAUUUUUAAAGUGUACCGCUCAUUGGUGUUCAGUGCAUUCACAUUGUGCCACUUCUUUUUCUCUUUGGCUAGUGCCAAACCCAGGAAGGCCGUGGGCAGGUUGAAAGACCUGGCUCCAUGUCUGCUCUGCUCAGCUGAGUGACCUGUGUCGUCAUGUGUGCCGUGAAGAGACGGGGCACACAACUUCCUGCUCGGAUGCGAUCAUCGCCCAUGUGUGGAGAGAUUAUAAUAGCAUAAUAGCUCACCAUUUACUGAGCAAUUAUUAUGUUCCAGGACCAUGCAAAGAGCUUUACAAGGGUUAUCUCUUUUAAUAAGUAACUUUAUCAGGGAGGUAUCAUUAGUCCCAUUUGACAGAUGUGGAAAUGGAGCCUCAAAGAGAUUAAUGAUAUGGUGCGGUCUUGGCAGCCUCAGAAGAUGCAGGGGUGGAGGCCUUCACCACUGUGCAAUAGUCGCCUUCCGUAUCUUUUGGGCACACUGGCCUGGGAGAAAGUAAAAAACAUAAGAUACUGAUCAGAUUGAAAGGUGUUUCUGCCAAAUCAGCCAACUGCCUUAGAGACCCCACUGCACACAUCAUCAUACCCCCAGAAGAGUUCAAAAAUUCUAAAUGCAAACUUGGCUUUCCAGGUCAUUUCGGAGGUAUAUUUAUGGAAGUAGGAAAAUAACACAUCUUAUUUGCCA